UGCAGGUGAAUUCAUCACCUAAAGAGUGAAAUUGAUCGCCAUGAGAAAUGAAAAGCUCUGUAAACUGGUUUUGCAAUCAUGAAUCUUCUACUAUCUACUUUUGCUUCCGAUUUAUAAAACUAAUCAUUUUUAUGCUUUUGCAGGUAUUGUAGGUUAAAUGAUACGAAUGACAGGAAAAGCAAUAUGAACUGAGUUUUCCAGGUAGUUUGUUCUCACAGAAAGCUUCUUGGCAUCAUUCACAUAAUCGAAAAGAAGAGCAUCAUUUACACAGUUGUCUUUAAGCCAACAGUCUGUAGAAAAAAAUUAUGAUUUAUUCAAUGAGUAGCAUAAUCUGUUGCUAGCCUGCUAUGAAAUUCUAUUUCAGAAUUUGUAUAUAUAUCA